rnacentral:tRNA from 1 species
GCACCCGUAGCUCAGCUGGAUAGAGCACCAGACUACAAAUCUGGGGGUCAGGAGUUCGAAUCUCUUCGGGUGCGCCA